rfam:Triticum aestivum genome assembly, contig: Triticum_aestivum_CS42_TGACv1_scaffold_160353_2DL
UAAGUACUUCCUCCGUCCGGAAAUACUUGUCAUCAAAAUGGAUAAAAGGAGAUGUAUCUAGAUGUAUUUUAGUUCUAGAUACAUUUUUUUUUGUCCAUUUUGAUGACAAGUAUUUUCCGACGGAGGGAGUAACAG